CUCGCCUUUCCUCCGUCCAUUCUUUCACCUCCUCUCUCUUCUCUUCUCACCUUUAAUGAAACUCCAUUUCCCCUUUCUUCGUUAUCCCCUCUUUCUCUCCCUUCCUCUUACCCUUCCCCUUUCUCUGUGCAAUUAAGCACCACGAAAGUCCGCUGCAACCAUAGGCGGAGUAAAAAAGCCCCACCAUUUCCAACCUAUAAUCGUCGCUCAUCAGAUCAGGAAUUCAGUUGCACUUCAAAAGGUCGCUUUCUCUCUCUUCUAGAACUCCGUCGUCGUCACCACCUUUUAUGAAUCCAUUCCUAUAGGUGAUUUGAAUUCGUCACCAACAAAUCGCGCCGGCCACCACAACGAUGCUCUAUUCGGUUGAUUUUUUUUUUUUCUACGAAACCCUGAUUUCAUAAUCUCUCCAUUUCAUCAGUUAUAAGUUAUAAGUGAUCCUAAUUUCUGCAAUUAAUUCAGAAUUUCAAAGACCUCCGGCGAGGCAACGACUAGAGAUGACGGACGACCAGACCGGCGGACCCCACCUUCGGUUGUGGAUUGUUCCUUCACUUUCCCAAAAUCUCCAAUCUAAUUUUAAACACACUGGUAACACACUUCCCUUGACAUGUACGCCCAUAAAGUUUGGUUCAUGGAUGGGAGGUGAUCGAGAUGGCAAUCCUAAUGUGACUGCCAUGGCCGGUGCAAGAAUCUAGCAAGCAAGGUGUUCUUCCUGGAAAACCAGUUCCUGAUCAGGGAGUGAGUAUUCAGGGUGUUGAUGUGCUUGUGGCCUGCGUGGGGUUUAGUGCUGUUCUUCUUAGACUUUUGAAGCUGCUGCUGCUGUUGGGCUGCCUGUUGCUGGGGUGUUGCUGUUUUUCUUUUGGUGUAGCUGCUGCUAGUGCCUAACGUUAAUGAGUAUGGUUUAUAUUUUUGGGGAAUAAAUAGAGUAUUUUUAGAUGUUUUUGUAUAGUAUUUUUGAAGGUUACAUUUGAAUUUUUAUUAAUGAAUGUUUGUAAAAGUGUUCAUCCACUUAAGUUUAAUAAUAUAUUUUUUUAAUAGAAGUUUAA